CCCGCGGGGCUCCGGGCGGCCGUGACCCUGCUGGAGUCCGGGGGGGACCUCCAGCCCCCCGGGGGGUCCCUGCGCCUCCUCUGCCGCGCCUCGGGGUUCACUUUCGGCAGUUUCGGCAUGUACUGGGUGCGCCAGAGACCCGGGCAGGCGCUGGAAUUCGUCGCGGGGAUCUACAGCAAUGGUGCCAGCACCUGGUACGCGCCGUCGGUGAAGGGCCGGGCGACGAUCUCCAGGGACAACGGGCAGAGCUCGGUGACGCUGACCAUGAACGGCCUCAAGGACGAGGAUUCCGGCUCCUAUUUCUGUGCCAAGGAUGCUGCUGCUGGUUGUUGUGGUGCUGCUGAGUAUGGUGACGAUGCCAGUGCCUGGCCCCAGCUCUCACCUGUGGAGUCCAACCCACAACUCCUGACCCCAAAUCUCCCCUUUGUCCCCCAAAACUUCGCCCAAAACGGCCCCGAGCGGGCCCCGGGCUGA